UUGAUUUCUUUCACACAGUAGUUGACGAACAAGUAAUUCAAUCUAUUUAAACCUCAUUGCAUCAUCCUCAAUUCAUCAUCACCAAUUCGUUUUCCUCGUUUGUUUUCUUACACCAACUUCUCGUCUGUUCAUUUUCGCUCAAGUGGUGCGGCGCGACUAGGAUAUGAAUUUUAAUUGUAUUACUCAAGUUAGCAUUCAAGUUGAAGUUCAAGUUCAAGUUAAAUUUCCAGGUGUGGGAUUUAUUUCAGUACAUGCACGUGGUUAAUAUUUGUCCAUUUUAAUAUUAUGUGUUUACCGUAUGUGUUGUAAAAAUAUUUAUCGCUAGGGGCCAGCAUAAUUGGUCCAGGACUUCACCGUCCUUGGUAUGCCACAAUGCGAUUUCAUGUUACAGGGUUGCAACCAUUAUAUUGUCGCCAGGGGCCCACAUAUAGGGUCCGGGACAUUAAAGUCCUUGGAGUUGCCACAGUGCGUAUGGAAGUUAUGUUACGUUAUGACAAUAUGUGUUACCAUUUUAUUAACAUGGACAAUUAUUGCAUGUUCCCACACUGAGUGUACCCUGUAUACUCAUCCCAUAUUCAACAGUUUCAGGUGAUUGAUAUUGGAGGCGCGUGGAGAGUCGAAUGGGCGCGUCGAAUCUAUUUAAAAUAAAUGUUUUUCAAAACAUAUUAUGUUAUUUCAUGUUAUAUCUUUUGGUUAUGUAAACUCUGAAAUUCUAUACUAUUUGAGAUUUGUGUGUGAUUUAUUUAAAUAAAUGUUGUUAUAUUAUUUUAAUGUCA